AGUGAACGCUGGCGGUAGGCCUAGCACAUGCAAGUCGAACGGCAGCACAGUAAGAGCUUGCUCUUACGGGUGGCGAGUGGCGGACGGGUGAGGAAUACAUCGGAAUCUACUUUUUCGUGGGGGAUAACGUAGGGAAACUUACGCUAAUACCGCAUACGACCUACGGGUGAAAGCAGGGGAUCUUCGGACCUUGCGCGAUUGAAUGAGCCGAUGUCGGAUUAGCUAGUUGGCGGGGUAAGGGCCCACCAAGGCGACGAUCCGUAGCUGGUCUGAGAGGAUGAUCAGCCACACUGGAACUGAGACACGGUCCAGACUCCUACGGGAGGCAGCAGUGGGGAAUAUUGGACAAUGGGCGCAAGCCUGAUCCAGCCAUACCGCGUGGGUGAAGAAGGCCUUCGGGUUGUAAAGCCCUUUUGUUGGGAAAGAAAAGCAGCAGGUUAAUACCCCGCCGUUCUGACGGUACCCAAAGAAUAAGCACCGGCUAACUUCGUG
rnacentral:rRNA from 1 species